GAGGCCGUUGUCUUAUUGGAUUUCCUGCC
rnacentral:piRNA from 1 species